rnacentral:rRNA from 1 species
UGUGUUUGAUAAUACAAAUGGCGCAAGAUUAGCCAUGCAUGUCUAGGUAUAAGCAAUUAUACCGUGAAACUGCGAAUGGCUCAUUAAAUCAGUUAUCGUUUAUUUGAUAGUACCUUACUACUUGGAUAACCGUGGUAAUUCUAGAGCUAAUACAUGCUGAAAACCCCGACUUCGGAAGGGGUGUAUUUAUUAGAUAAAAAACCAAUGCCCUUCGGGGCUCUUUGGUGAUUCAUGAUAACUUAACGGAUCGCAUGGCCUUGCGCCGGCGACGGUUCAUUCAAAUUUCUGCCCUAUCAACUUUCGAUGGUAAGGUAUUGGCUUACCAUGGUUUCAACGGGUAACGGGGAAUUAGGGUUCGGUUCCGGAGAGGGAGCCUGAGAAACGGCUACCACAUCCAAGGAAGGCAGCAGGCGCGCAAAUUACCCAAUCCCGACACGGGGAGGUAGUGACAAUAAAUACUGAUACAGGGCUCUUUUGGGUCUUGUAAUUGGAAUGAGUACAAUUUAAACCCCUUAACGAGGAACAAUUGGAGGGCAAGUCUGGUGCCAGCAGCCGCGGUAAUUCCAGCUCCAAUAGCGUAUAUUAAAGUUGUUGCAGUUAAAAAGCUCGUAGUUGAAUCUUGGGUCUGGCUGGCCGGUCCGCCUCACCGCGUGUACUGGUCCGGCCGGGCCUUUCCUUCUGGAGAGCCCCAUGCCCUUCACUGGGUGUGCGGGGGAACCAGGACUUUUACUUUGAAAAAAUUAGAGUGUUCAAAGCAGGCCUUUGCUCGAAUACGUUAGCAUGGAAUAAUAGAAUAGGACGUGCGGUUCUAUUUUGUUGGUUUCUAGAACCGCCGUAAUGAUUAAUAGGGAUAGUCGGGGGCAUCAGUAUUCAAUUGUCAGAGGUGAAAUUCUUAGAUUUAUUGAAGACUAACUACUGCGAAAGCAUUUGCCAAGGAUGUUUUCAUUAAUCAGUGAACGAAAGUUAGGGGAUCGAAGACGAUCAGAUACCGUCGUAGUCUUAACCGUAAACUAUGCCGACUAGGGAUCGGGCGGUGUUUCUAUCUUGACCCGCUCGGCACCUUACGAGAAAUCAAGUUUUUGGGUUCUGGGGGGGAGUAUGGUCCGCAAGGCUGAACUCAGAGAUAUAUGAAGCAGCAACGAA